rnacentral:tRNA from 1 species
GCCCGGAUGGCGGAAUUGGUAGACGCGCUAGUUUCAGGAGCUAGUUCGCUUUGGCGGAUGGGGGUUCGAGUCCCCCUUCGGGCA